CCUACGGGGGGCUGCAGUAAGGAAUAUUGGUCAAUGGACGAAAGUCUGAACCAGCCAUCCCGCGUGCAGGAUGAAAGCCCUAUGGGUUGUAAACUGCUUUUAGCAGAGAAGAAAAGCUUUCAUUAAUGAGAGUCUGACGGUAUCUGCAGAAUAAGCACCGGCUAACUCCGUGCCAGCAGCCGCGGUAAUACGGAGGGUGCGAGCGUUAUCCGGAGUUACUGGGUUUAAGGGGUAGGUAUACGUCGGUUGUGAAAGUGUGUCGCUUAACGAUAAAAUUGCCAAGGAUACUGGUACUCUUGAAUUGGGUUGAGGUUAGCGGAAUGUGACAUGUAGCGGUGAAAUGCAUAGAUAUGUCAUGGAACACCAAUUGCGAAGGCAGCUAACUGGGCCGUGAUUGACGCUGAGGCACGAAAGCGUGGGUAGCGAACAGGAUUAGAUACCCUGGUAGUC
rnacentral:rRNA from 1 species